GAACAGGCAGUCGCUUUGACGGUACCUUCAGAGAAAGCCCGGCUAACUCCGUGCCAGCAGCCGCGGUAACACGGGGGGGGCAGCGUUGUCCGGGAAUUAUUGGGCGUAAAGGGCGCGUAGGUGGGAUAGCAAGUCUGGGGUGCAAACUUAUGGCUUAACUGUAAGCUUGCCCUGGAUACUACUAUUCUUGAGUUCGGGAGAGGGAAGUGGAAUUCCUGGUGUAGCGGUGAAAUGCGUAGAUAUCAGGAAGAACACCGGUGGCGAAGGCGGCUUCCUGGCCCGAUACUGACACUGAGGCGCGAAAGUGCGGGGAGCAAACAGGAUUAGAUACCCUGGUAGUCCGCACAGUAAACGUUGGACACUAGGUGUUGGUCUCUAUGAGAUCAGCGCCGCAGCUAACGCAUUAAGUGUCCCGCCUGGGGAGUACGACCGCAAGGUUGAAACUCAAAGGAAUUGACGGGGGCCCGCACAAGCGGUGGAGCAUGUGGUUUAAUUCGAUGAUACGCGAGGAACCUUACCUGGGCUUAAAUGGGGAGUGACAGCUGCUGAAAGGUGGUUUUCUUCGGACACUCUUCAAGGUGCUGCAUGGUUGUCGUCAGCUCGUGCCGUGAGGUGUCGGGUUAAGUCCCAUAACGAGCGCAACCCUUACUGUUAGUUGCCAGCGGGUAAAGCCGGGGACUCUAGCGGGACUGCCACCGUAAGGUGAGAGGAAGGUGGGGAUGACGUCAAAUCAGCACGGCCCUUAUGUCCAGGGCUACACACGUGUUACAAUGGCCGGUACAAAGGGCAGCUACACUGCGAAGUGAUGCUAAUCUCGAAAGCCGGUCCCAGUUCGGAUCGAAGUCUGCAACCCGACUUCGUGAAGUUGGAUUCGCUAGUAAUCGCGCAUCAGCCAUGGCGCGGUGAAUACGUUCCCGGGCCUUGUACACACCGCCCGU
rnacentral:rRNA from 1 species